rnacentral:misc_RNA from 1 species
UCCGAGUUGACCCCGGCAGUCUCCUACGAGUCCCCGGCAUAACCCGCUGGUAACUAACGAUAGGGGUUGCGUUCGUUGCGGGACUUAACCCAACAUCUCACGACACGAACUGACGACAGCCAUGCAGCACCUCGCUACCAGUCCGAAGAGGCCCCCAUCUCUGAGGGUUUCCGGGUGAUGUCAAACCCAGGUAAGGUUCUUCGCGUUGCAUCGAAUUAAUCCGCAUGCUCCGCCGCUUGUGCGGGCCCCCGUCAAUUCCUUUGAGUUUUAGCCUUGCGGCCGUACUCCCCAGGCGGGGCGCUUAAUGCGUUAGCUACGGCACAGAACCAACAAACGUGGCCCCACACCUAGCGCCCACCGUUUACAGCAUGGACUAC